rnacentral:piRNA from 1 species
CUGGGGANAAGCCGAUCUGUUUAAAGC